UACGUAGGGACCAAGCGUUGUUCGGAUUUACUGGGCGUAAAGGGCGCGUAGGCGGCAAUUCAAGUCAUCUGUGAAAUCUCCGAGCUUAACUCGGAACGGUCAGAUGAUACUGCUUUGCUAGAGUACAGAAGGGGCAAUCGGAAUUCUUGGUGUAGCGGUGAAAUGCGCAGAUAUCAGGAGGAACACCGGUGGCGAAGGCGGGUCUCUGGGCCGAUACUGACGUGAGGAGCGAAAGCGUGGGGGAGCGAACAGG
rnacentral:rRNA from 1 species